rnacentral:rRNA from 1 species
GUGGGGAAUAUUGGGCAAUGGGCGCAAGCCUGACCCAGCAACGCCGCGUGAAUGAAGAAGGUCUUCGGAUUGUAAAGUUCUGUGAGGAGGGACGAAGGAAGUGACGGUACCUCCAAAGCAAGCCACGGCUAACUACGUGCCAGCAGCCGCGGUAAUACGUAGGUGGCGAGCGUUGUCCGGAAUGACUGGGCGUAAAGGGAGCGUAGGCGGCUUGGCAAGUUAGGAGUGAAAUCCCGUGGCUUAACCACGGAACUGCUUUUAAAACUGUCAGGCUUGAGUGAUGGAGAGGAAAGCGGAAUUCCUAGUGUAGCGGUGGAAUGCGUAGAUAUUAGGAGGAACACCAGUGGCGAAGGCGGCUUUCUGGACAUUAACUGACGCUGAUGCUCGAAAGCGUGGGGAGCAAACAGGA